AGAUAGAUCCUCCUAAAAUGAAAGGGGCUCGUGGGACAGGAUGUGUGAGGGGUUCUUGUUGUACUUACAUAGCACAAACACAUAAAAUACGUUAUGGACUCUAGAUAGCUCUGGAGGUAGUGCUAGUCUGUUGGCAAACGUACCAAUCCUGUUCAAAAUUUCAAACGGUUUAAUGAACCAAAGGUUUAAGAAAUACUCGAUUGUCUUUCUCAAAUUCCAAAU
rnacentral:lncRNA from 1 species